rnacentral:rRNA from 1 species
AAUGAACGCUGGCGGCGUGCCUAAUACAUGCAAGUCGAGCGAACAGAUCAGGAGCUUGCUCCUAUGACGUUGUCAGCGGACGGAUGAGUCACACGUGUAUGACAUACCUAUCAGAAUGGGAUAACUUCGGGGAACCGGAUCUAAUACCCAAUGAUAUAUUGAACCGCGUUGUUCCAUCGUUAAAUACGCUUUUUCUUACAGUAAUAGAUUGCUCCGCGCCGCAUUAGCUAGUUGGUUAGGUAACUGCUUAGCAAGGCAAGGAUGCGUACCCGACCCGGACGGGUGAAUGGACAGAUGGUAAGUGAGACACGGCCCAGACUCCUACGGGAGGCAGCAGUAGGGAAUCUUACGCAAGGGGCGAAAGCCGGACGGAGCAACGCCGGGGGAGUGAUGAAGGUCCUCGGACCGGAAAACUAUGUUAUUAGUGAAGAACAAAUGUGUAAGUAACUAUGCACGUAUUGACGGUACCGAAUCAGAAAGCCCCGGCUAACUACGUG